CAGCACCUCAAGUGGUCAGGAUGAUUAUUGGGCCUAAAGCAUCCGUAGCCGGCGCUGUAAGUUUUCGGUUAAAUCUGUACGCUCAACGUACAGGCUGCCGGGAAUACUGCAGCGCUAGGGAGUGGGAGAGGUAGACGGUACUCGGUAGGAAGGGGUAAAAUCUUUUGAUCUAUUGAUGACCACCUGUGGCGAAGGCGGUCUACCAGAACACGUCCGACGGUGAGGGAUGAAAGCUGGGGGAGCAAACCGGAUUAGAUACCCGAGUAGUCC
rnacentral:rRNA from 1 species